rnacentral:rRNA from 1 species
GGUUAAGCGACUAAGCGUACACGGUGGAUGCCCUGGCAGUCAGAGGCGAUGAAGGACGUGCUAAUCUGCGAUAAGCGUCGGUAAGGUGAUAUGAACCGUUAUAACCGGCGAUUUCCGAAUGGGGAAACCCAGUGUGAUUCGUCACACUAUCAUUAACUGAAUCCAUAGGUUAAUGAGGCGAACCGGGGGAACUGAAACAUCUAAGUACCCCGAGGAAAAGAAAUCAACCGAGAUUCCCCCAGUAGCGGCGAGCGAACGGGGAGCAGCCCAGAGCCUGAAUCAGUGUGUGUGUUAGUGGAAGCGUCUGGAAAGGCGCGCGAUACAGGGUGACAGCCCCGUACACAAAAAUGCACAUACUGUGAGCUCGAUGAGUAGGGCGGGACACGUGGUAUCCUGUCUGAAUAUGGGGGGACCAUCCUCCAAGGCUAAAUACUCCUGACUGACCGAUAGUGAACCAGUACCGUGAGGGAAAGGCGAAAAGAACCCCGGCGAGGGGAGUGAAAAAGAACCUGAAACCGUGUACGUACAAGCAGUGGGAGCACGCUUAGGCGUGUGACUGCGUACCUUUUGUAUAAUGGGUCAGCGACUUAUAUUCUGUAGCAAGGUUAACCGAAUAGGGGAGCCGAAGGGAAACCGAGUCUUAACUGGGCGUUAAGUUGCAGGGUAUAGACCCGAAACCCGGUGAUCUAGCCAUGGGCAGGUUGAAGGUUGGGUAACACUAACUGGAGGACCGAACCGACUAAUGUUGAAAAAUUAGCGGAUGACUUGUGGCUGGGGGUGAAAGGCCAAUCAAACCGGGAGAUAGCUGGUUCUCCCCGAAAGCUAUUUAGGUAGCGCCUCGUGAAUUCAUCUCCGGGGGUAGAGCACUGUUUCGGCAAGGGGGUCAUCCCGACUUACCAACCCGAUGCAAACUGCGAAUACCGGAGAAUGUUAUCACGGGAGACACACGGCGGGUGCUAACGUCCGUCGUGAAGAGGGAAACAACCCAGACCGCCAGCUAAGGUCCCAAAGUCAUGGUUAAGUGGGAAACGAUGUGGGAAGGCCCAGACAGCCAGGAUGUUGGCUUAGAAGCAGCCAUCAUUUAAAGAAAGCGUAAUAGCUCACUGGUCGAGUCGGCCUGCGCGGAAGAUGUAACGGGGCUAAACCAUGCACCGAAGCUGCGGCAGCGACGCUGAUGCGUUGUUGGGUAGGGGAGCGUUCUGUAAGCCUGCGAAGGUGUGCUGUGAGGCAUGCUGGAGGUAUCAGAAGUGCGAAUGCUGACAUAAGUAACGAUAAAGCGGGUGAAAAGCCCGCUCGCCGGAAGACCAAGGGUUCCUGUCCAACGUUAAUCGGGGCAGGGUGAGUCGACCCCUAAGGCGAGGCCGAAAGGCGUAGUCGAUGGGAAACAGGUUAAUAUUCCUGUACUUGGUGUUACUGCGAAGGGGGGACGGAGAAGGCUAUGUUGGCCGGGCGACGGUUGUCCCGGUUUAAGCGUGUAGGCUGGUUUUCCAGGCAAAUCCGGAAAAUCAAGGCUGAGGCGUGAUGACGAGGCACUACGGUGCUGAAGCAACAAAUGCCCUGCUUCCAGGAAAAGCCUCUAAGCAUCAGGUAACAUCAAAUCGUACCCCAAACCGACACAGGUGGUCAGGUAGAGAAUACCAAGGCGCUUGAGAGAACUCGGGUGAAGGAACUAGGCAAAAUGGUGCCGUAACUUCGGGAGAAGGCACGCUGAUAUGUAGGUGAAGUCCCUCGCGGAUGGAGCUGAAAUCAGUCGAAGAUACCAGCUGGCUGCAACUGUUUAUUAAAAACACAGCACUGUGCAAACACGAAAGUGGACGUAUACGGUGUGACGCCUGCCCGGUGCCGGAAGGUUAAUUGAUGGGGUUAGCGCAAGCGAAGCUCUUGAUCGAAGCCCCGGUAAACGGCGGCCGUAACUAUAACGGUCCUAAGGUAGCGAAAUUCCUUGUCGGGUAAGUUCCGACCUGCACGAAUGGCGUAAUGAUGGCCAGGCUGUCUCCACCCGAGACUCAGUGAAAUUGAACUCGCUGUGAAGAUGCAGUGUACCCGCGGCAAGACGGAAAGACCCCGUGAACCUUUACUAUAGCUUGACACUGAACAUUGAGCCUUGAUGUGUAGGAUAGGUGGGAGGCUUUGAAGUGUGGACGCCAGUCUGCAUGGAGCCGACCUUGAAAUACCACCCUUUAAUGUUUGAUGUUCUAACGUGGACCCGUAAUCCGGGUUGCGGACAGUGUCUGGUGGGUAGUUUGACUGGGGCGGUCUCCUCCUAAAGAGUAACGGAGGAGCACGAAGGUUGGCUAAUCCUGGUCGGACAUCAGGAGGUUAGUGCAAUGGCAUAAGCCAGCUUGACUGCGAGCGUGACGGCGCGAGCAGGUGCGAAAGCAGGUCAUAGUGAUCCGGUGGUUCUGAAUGGAAGGGCCAUCGCUCAACGGAUAAAAGGUACUCCGGGGAUAACAGGCUGAUACCGCCCAAGAGUUCAUAUCGACGGCGGUGUUUGGCACCUCGAUGUCGGCUCAUCACAUCCUGGGGCUGAAGUAGGUCCCAAGGGUAUGGCUGUUCGCCAUUUAAAGUGGUACGCGAGCUGGGUUUAGAACGUCGUGAGACAGUUCGGUCCCUAUCUGCCGUGGGCGCUGGAGAACUGAGGGGGGCUGCUCCUAGUACGAGAGGACCGGAGUGGACGCAUCACUGGUGUUCGGGUUGUCAUGCCAAUGGCACUGCCCGGUAGCUAAAUGCGGAAGAGAUAAGUGCUGAAAGCAUCUAAGCACGAAACUUGCCCCGAGAUGAGUUCUCCCUGACUCCUUGAGAGUCCUGAAGGAACGUUGAAGACGACGACGUUGAUAGGCCGGGUGUGUAAGCGCAGCGAUGCGUUGAGCUAACCGGUACUAAUGAACCGUGAGGCUUAACCUU